CUCCAGUUCGGUGCCCGUUUCCUCCGCCGGGCGUGGAUCUCUCGGGUCCAGGUCUUCCAGAAGGGGCCCCAGCCUUGCAACUGUGUGGCUCUUGGAGACCGAUGACAACUCUCCCACAGACGGCCUUUGGGGUUCUGCACCAGCCAGCACCCCUUCUGUCCUGCAGGACCCUGAUCUUACUGCCUGAUGCACCCCCAUGGUGUCCAGAGGGUGAGGCUGUCCCCUUGGGAGUGUCAUGUGACUGCUGUUCCCUGUGUGAGAAGUGUCCUCAGGAAGAGCCUGGAUGAUGAGGUUCCAGAUGGCUCUGUGGGUGCAGAGGUGCCAUGGGAGAUGUCAGUCUUCAUGUCAGCUGGGUGCUAGACGAUGGGGCUCUGAGGUCAGCCUUAGAGCAGAGACUGUUGAAGAAGGUCCCAAGGCCAUGAAUCAGUGACCCUCAGGAUGACUUGGGACCUGGGUUUCCUGACAUUUCUCACCAAGAUUGUCUUGGUGGUGUUUGUGGACACCCGAGGGGCAGAGAAUUGAGAGGAGGUCCCCACAGAAGCCUCACCACAGCUGCUCCUCACUGCCCGCUCAGAGCAUCCUGGAACAACUGUUCACUCUGCAAGGGGAUCAGAGGGAAAGCUUGGGGUUCACUUCAGCUGGCUCUGCAUCAUGACAGCAGUACCCUUAGAAGGCCAGCCCCAUGUCCUCUGCCAUGCUUGGAAUGACUUUAAUAACCAAGAGCUUUUCUCUUGAACUUGUAGCUGUUCAUCACUUUCCUCUCCACCGCCCAUUUAAUAAACCUUACAGACUUGCUCUGUCUGCCUUUUAAAUCAGCAUGAAGCCGUGUGCCAGCAAGGCUGGGCAUGGAGAGA